rnacentral:rRNA from 1 species
AUUGAACGCUGGCGGCAGGCUUAAGACAUGCAAGUCGAGCGGUAACAGGAGAGCUUGCUCUCGCUGACGAGCGGCGGACGGGUGAGUAACGCGUAGGAAUCUGCCCAGUAGUGGGGGAUAGCCCGGGGAAACUCGGAUUAAUACCGCAUACGCCCUACGGGGGAAAGGCCGGGAUCUUCGGACCGGUUGCUAUUGGAUGAGCCUGCGUAGGAUUAGCUUGUUGGUGGGGUAAUGGCCUACCAAGGCGACGAUCUUUAGCUGGUCUGAGAGGAUGAUCAGUCACACUGGAACUGAGACACGGUCCAGACUCCUACGGGAGGCAGCAGUCGGGAAUAUUGGACAAUGGGGGCAACCCUGAUCCAGCCAUGCCGCGUGUGUGAAGAAGGCCUUCGGGUUGUAAAGCACUUUAAGCAGGGAGGAAGGCUCUGGGGUUAAUAGCCACGGGGAUUGACGUUACCUGCAGAAUAAGCACCGGCUAACUCCGUGCCAGCAGCCGCGGUAAUACGGAGGGUGCAAGCGUUAAUCGGAAUUACUGGGCGUAAAGCGCGCGUAGGCGGUUUGGUAAGUGUGAUGUGAAAGCCCAGGGCUCAACCUUGGAACUGCAUCACAUACUG